AACAUUCAGUACAAGCUUAAAACAGGUAAACUACGGACCAAUCUAAUUGGUUCAUACAAAACAUGGUUGUUUUAGCUGUUGAUCAACAAUGCACCUAGUCUAUGCAAGAAUAUUUGAACUUGGGAUAGUGAACAACAGACACUGCUAACUCAUGAAUAACAACUUCUUAAGAAAAAAGGAAAGGAAAAUUCAUCAUUCAUUCCUCUAGUACAUACAUGGGACUAGAUAGUUCUCGAAUCAUCAUGACAAAGCAAGCAUCUGAAUAAAAAUAACAAUAAUAUAAACUAACCUGCUGCCUGCUUACUGGGACUGCUGCAGGAGCGGUAGGUGCAGCUGGCAAAUUAAGCUCUGCAUCGAAAUCGGAUUCCUUGUCUGGUUGAAGAUACGAUGGGACUGCACUUGACUCAAACUCCAUAUCAGCCUCCAAAGCAUCCAGUUCUGCAAUGUUCAAGAAACAACGACAGUAGAUAGAUUAUUAUCUCCAGCCCUGCAAUG
rnacentral:lncRNA from 1 species